rnacentral:rRNA from 1 species
CGUAGGGAGCAAGCGUUGUCCGGAAUCAUUGGGCGUAAAGCGCGCGUAGGCGGCUUUUUAAGUCAGUGGUGAAAUCCUGCCGCUUAACGGUAGAAUUGCCAUUGAUACUGAAGAGCUUGAGUACAGUUGAGGUAAGCGGAAUGUGUAGUGUAGCGGUGAAAUGCUUAGAUAUUACACAGAACACCAAUUGCGAAGGCAGCUUACUAAACUGUCACUGACGCUGAUGCACGAAAGCGUGGGGAGCGAACAGGAUUAGAUACCCUGGUAGUCCACGCCGUAAACGAUGAUCACUCGCUGUAUGCGAUACACAGUAUGCGGCCAAGCGAAAGCAUUAAGUGAUCCACCUGGGGAGUACGAUCGCAAGGUUG